rnacentral:rRNA from 1 species
AUUGAACGCUGGCGGCAGGCCUAACACAUGCAGGUCGAGCGGAUGAAGGGAGCUUGCUCCUGGAUUCAGCGGCGGACGGGUGAGUAAUGCCUAGGAAUCUGCCUGGUAGUGGGGGAUAACGUCCGGAAACGGGCGCUAAUACCGCAUACGUCCUGAGGGAGAAAGUGGGGGAUCUUCGGACCUCACGCUAUCAGAUGAGCCUAGGUCGGAUUAGCUAGUUGGUGGGGUAAAGGCCUACCAAGGCGACGAUCCGUAACUGGUCUGAGAGGAUGAUCAGUCAGACUGGAACUGAGACACGGUCCAGACUCCUACGGUAGGCAGCAGUGGGGACUAUUGGACGAUGGGCGAAAGCCUGAUCCAGCCAUGCCGCGUGUGUGAAGAAGGUCUUCUGAUUGUAAAGCACUUUAAGUUGGGAGGAAGGGCAGUAAGUUCAUCCCUUGCUGUUUUGACGUUACCCACAGAAUAAGCACCGGCUAACUUCGUG